AACGUUGGCGGCGUGGAUUAGGCAUGCAAGUCGAGCGAGAACCCAGCAAUGGGGGACAGCGGCGCAAGGGACAGUAAUGUGUAGAUUAUCUGCCCUUAGGACCGGGAUAGCUGCGGGAAACUGCAGGUAAUACCGGAUAAUAUCUCCGGAUCAAAUGGUGUGAUUCCGCCUAGGGAUGAGUCUACAUCCUAUUAGCUAGUUGGCAGGGUAACGGCCUACCAAGGCUUUGAUGGGUAGCGGGUGUGAGAGCACUACCCGCGUCAUUGGGACUGAGACACUGCCCAGACACCUACGGGUGGCUGCAGUCGAGAAUCUUCGGCAAUGGGCGCAAGCCUGACCGAGCGACGCCGCGUGCGGGAUGAAGGCCUUCGGGUUGUAAACCGCCGUCAGAGGGGAUGAAAUGCAGGUGGGUUCUCCCACUUGUUUGACAUAGCCUCAGAGGAAGGACGGGCUAAGUUCGUGCCAGCAGCCGCGGUAAGACGAACCGUCCAAACGUUAUUCGGAAUCACUGGGCUUAAAGGGUGCGUAGGCGGCGCGGAAAGUUGGGUGUGAAAUCCCUCGGCUCAACCGAGGAACUGCGCCCAAAACUGCCGUGCUCGAGGAAGAUAGAGGUGAGCGGAACUUAGGGUGNAGCGGUGAAAUGCGUUGAUAUCCUAAGGAACACCGGUGGCGAAAGCGGCUCACUGGAUCUUUUCUGACGCUGAGGCACGAAAGCUAGGGUAGCGAACGGGAUUAGAUACCCCGGUAGUCCUAGCCGUAAACGAUGAGCACUGGAU
rnacentral:rRNA from 1 species